CCUUAUGAUGAUCUUAUACAACGAAUUUCUUCACCUGAAUCACACAUGUGGAAUAACAUACAUUGAGCUUUUUAACCCUGAUA
rfam:Smittium culicis strain GSMNP scaffold-588, whole genome shotgun sequence.